GCAGAUAAGAAACGUACCUUCAUGGAGUUUGCAUGCGAGUAGCAGGGCACAGAUUUGAACAAAGCCACUAAUAAAGAUACAGCAUCAGAGAGGCCAAGAAAUACAGUGUAAACCUCAUUAUUAGGACAACUUCAGGAUGCAUCUAACAUUGACUCCCAGCGCAUCAGGCUUCUGAUUCUGUCAGCUGGACUCUAGCUCCAUUAACAGUCCCUGGAGGAUGAUCAUACUGAAUCAGGGGAAAGGAAAACUGGUAGCAGCUCCCAAAUGCACCUGCAAUAGCCAGCUACAAAGCAGCUAAGAGGGCAUGCUUUAGAUCGAAAUGGCUGAGUUUAAAUCCUGCCUCUACCACUCAAUUAUCAACUAGUUUUCCAACAGCUGGGUUUCAGUCUCCUCAUCCAUCCCUGGUAGUAAUAGCACUUAUGUGACAGGGUGUUAGAAUGCGACCUCGCCUGUAGUGAGCAUUCAUGAAGUGCCAGCUAUCAUCCUUAUUGCUGUUUUUGUUAUUAAUUACAUCCUUUGUGAAAUUUUCAUCACGGCUAAACUUGUGCCCCCACGCUCUGUCAAUUCUCAUUGAAUACAAACUUAAAACAAGUGCCAAAAGAUUUUACUAGCAAGAACACAAAGAUGAUAAAUGAAAACAAGGCUUAGGAAACACAUCCCAUUUUAAUCUUUUUGUGGAUUAAUUUUUAGUUAACCUUUUCUGGGGAUGGAAACUGGUGCUUAUAGCAAUAAAAGAAGAAACAGAAAAUAAUAAAUGCCCAC
rnacentral:lncRNA from 1 species